rnacentral:lncRNA from 1 species
CCAAGUGGAGCGGCUGAGGGCUGAGGCGUGUAGAGGAGGACGAGCUGGUUCUUUUGGGACCGGUGCCGACGGAAUUGAUGGCCAGACAUGGUGGUGGCGAAGAAAGAAAAAAUCAGCUAGGGGGGUGUGGUCGCGCGACAGGAGGGAGAGAGAGAGAGAGAAAGAAACUGAGGUUUAUAAAAAUUCUGAUUUUCCAAUUUACUGUUUUGCCCCUCAUGAUAUUUUAAUCGUCUUUUCUUCGUUAAAACUCCGAUUCGAGCUCACUUCGUGUCUACGAACUCGUUUCGUCGUGCUCUACGCAACGGUGUAUGUGGAAUUGUCAAAUUUUUUUUCGGUCAAAAAGUCAACUUUGAGUUCAUAAUUUAGUCCAAGGGCAAAAUUGUCUUUCCGCAUAAUAAAUUACUAAUUAAAUAUGAAUUUUAGGUUUGGGUCAUUACAAUUCUUAUUCACUGUUUUUUUUUCUUUCUUUUUUAGAUUGAUCUCAAUUAGGCUUUUGAAUUGAAUAUUAAGAACUAAUCUCUCUUUUGUAGGAUUCAUCUUAUACUUUCACUUUUGAGUUGAAUGGACCUUAAGAGAUGAUGUUAGGCUAUGCAUGUUCUACACACUAAAUAAACUUAUGUCCAACCCUUAUGUGUG